rnacentral:rRNA from 1 species
UAAAGGUUCUCAAUGAUAACCUAGACAAAAAAAGAUUAUGGACGGAAUAUCCGAGAAAAACAUGGAGGCAUGACCGUAGAUGUGUUUAAGUCCAAAGGAAAACCCGAAAGAAUAAAAACUUAGAGAAUUGAAACAUCUUAGUAUCUAAGGAAAUAAAUCAACCGAGUUUUUGCGAGUAGUGGCGAAUGAAAGCAAAAUAAAGGCUAAAAGAGUCAAACAAAUACGUGAAAACCCCAGAAAGGGUUGCCAAAGAAGGUGAAAGCCCUGUAACCAUGGAGUAAUACUCCUUUUUGUGACUCCAAAUCAGUAGGGCGGUGAAACAUCUGUCUGAACAUAGGGGGACCACCCUCUAAGCCUUAAAUAACUUUUUUUGAUCGAUAGCGCACAAGUACCGUGAGGGAAAGGUGAAAUAAUCCCUUUUAAAGGGUUUGAAAUAGCAUAAAAUUGAGAAUUUACAAGCAGUAGAUUAAUUAAAGAGUUAAGAAAUCUACGUACUUCUUGCAUAACGGAUCAGCGAGUUAGUUUCUAAAACAGGCCUAAACAAUAAUGUGUAAGCGAAAAGAAAGUAAACUUUGCCUUUUGGGCAAAUAAAAAGUUUUAGGAAAAAGACCCGAACCUAAGUGAUCUAAGUAUGAGCAGGUUGAAACUCCAUGAAAGUGUAGUGAAGGACCGAACCCACUGUUGUUGCAAUACCAGGGGAAGACUUGUGCUUAGGGGUGAAAGGCCAAACAAACUUAGAUCUAGCUGGUUCUCCCCGAAAUCUAUUGAGGUAGAGCACUUUUUCAUUAUAUCUUAUGGGGUAGAGCACUUCAUGGGUGUGGGGGGCGUAAAGCUUUACCAUUUCCAAGAAAACUCCGAAUACGUACAGAUAGAAAAAGAAGACAGGCUCUGGGCGCAAAGGUGCAGAGCCGAGAGGGAAACAGCCCAGACUAUCAGCUAAGGUCUUUAAUCUCUUUCUUAGUGGGAAAGGAACGAUAUGUGCAAAAUCAACUUUGAGGUGGGCUUAGAGGCAGCCAUCCCGUUAAGGAAAGCGUAACAGCUCAUUGAUUUAGCCGUGGUCGACCAAAAAUGUAACGAGUCUCAAGAAAGAAACCGAAGCUAUAGAUAUAGGAUCAAGAAUCCUAUGUGGUAGGGGAGCGUUGUGUGUAUCGUAGACCUUUAUUCUCAAGAAUAUAAGGAAGAUCUCACAAGUGACUAUGCUGAUAUGAGUAACGUAAAAUCAUGUGAAAUACAUGAUCACCGAAACUUCAAGGUUUUCUACGCAUUGUGAAUCAGCGUAGAGUAAAACGGCCCCUAAGAUGAAAAAGGACCCGAAAGGGUAUGUCGAUGGGAAUGUAUCUUGAAAGAUUCACGAGAGAUUCUUUCUUCUUUCGUUGGAGAAAAGUUGGAAGAAAUUAAGUGAACUGGAAAAAUCAAGAUAAUAAAACCGUACUGGAAACCGCCACUGGUGAAGGAGUAGAAAUCUACAAAGGUGAUCGAAAGAACCAUUUUUAAGGAACUCGGCAAAAUGACCCCGUAACUUAGGAAGAAGGGGGACCUUAACUAAUUUUAGAUUAUUAAGGUGGCACGAAAUCGGGGGUAGCAACUGUUUACCAAAAACACAAGACUUUGCUAAGUUGUAAAACGCUGUAUAAGGUCUGACACCUGCCCGGUGCUGCAAACUUAAGGGGAAAGGUGAAAUCCUUUAUGGAUGGAGCUUGGAACUUAUUGUUCAGUAAACGGCGGUCGUAACUCUAACGAUCCUAAGGUAGCGAAAUUCCUUGUCCACUAAUUAUGGACCUGCAUGAAUGGUGUAAUGACUGCCCCGCUGUCUCAAAAAUGGAUUCGGUGAAAUUGAAUUCUCCGUGAAGAUGCGGAGUAUAAGUGCCUAGACGGGAAGACCCUGUGCUUCUUUACUAUAACCUUUCAUUGAAACCUGGUCUCUCUUGUGUAGCAUAAGUGGGAGUUUCUUAAAAACUUCGGUUUUUAAGGGACAUCAGUGAAAUACCACUCUGGAUUUACUGGGAAUCUUACCUUUUUAAGAAAAAGGGACAUUGAAUGGUGGGUAGUUUGACUGGGGUGGUCGCCUCCCAAAGUGUAACGGAGGUGUGCGAAGGUAGGUUUGAUUGGAUUGGAAACCCUUUCUAAAGUGUAACGACAAAAACUUGCUUGACUGCGAGAUAGACAUAUCGAGCAGGGACGAAAGUCGGCCGUAGUGAUCCGGGAGUCCUUCGUGGAAAGGCUCUCGCUCAACGAAUCAAAGAAACGCCAGGGAUAACAGGCUAAUACCUCCCAAGAGUUCAUAUCGACGGAGUUGUUUGGCACCUCGAUGUUGAUUCAUUGCGUCCUGGAGGUGAAGAAGCUUCCAAGGGUUCGGCUGUUCGCCGGUUAAAGCAGUACGUGAGUUGAGUUCAGAACGUCGUGAGACAGUUCGGUUCCUAUCUAGCAUUUAUAGUGAAAAAUUAAAAGGUUUUCUCUCUAGUACGAGAGGAUCGAGAUUAAGCUGACCUCUGGUUUACCGGUUGUAUUGCCUAAUGCAUCGCCGGCUCGCUACGUCUGUAUGAAUAACUGCUGAAAGCAUCUAAGCGGGAAGUCAUCCUUUAAACUUAUUUUUACUACCGUAGAAGACUACUACGUUGAUAGGCAAGAACCUAUUCUUUAGUAAUAAAGACUUUUUCUUGUACUAA